GAUGAACGCUGACCGCAUGCUUAACACAUCAGCGAUUGAUUGAUGGCGGACGGGUGAGUGACUCGUAACUGACUUGCCUCCCGGCUAGGGACAAUAUUUGGUAACGAAUGCUACUACCUAAUCCUGUGCGAGAGCUUUGUGUCACAUUAGCUAGUUGGAGAGGUAACGGCUCACCAAGGCGAUGAUGGGUAGCCUGCCUGAGAGGGUGACCGGCGCCAAGGUGAUGCAGACACCGGCCUUACUCAGACGGGAGCAAGCAGUGCGGAAUAUAGGGAAACGGACCACAGUCUGAUCUAUCAAUUCGGGUUGCACGAUAAAGAUGCCGGAAAGAAAAGUGCAUUGUUUUGGGAAGCGGUACCAACAGAAGAAGCGACGGCUAAAUACGUGCCAGCAGCCGCGGUAAUAC
rnacentral:rRNA from 1 species